GGCCAGACUCCUACGGGAGGCAGCAGUGGGGAAUAUUGCACAAUGGGGGAAACCCUGAUGCAGCAACGCCGCGUGAGUGAAGAAGUAUUUCGGUAUGUAAAGCUCUAUCAGCAGGGAAGAAGAUGACGGUACCUGACUAAGAAGCCCCGGCUAACUACGUGCCAGCAGCCGCGGUAAUACGUAGGGGGCAAGCGUUAUCCGGAUUUACUGGGUGUAAAGGGAGCGUAGACGGCAUGGCAAGUCAGAUGUGAAAGCCCGGGGCUCAACCCCGGGACUGCAUUUGAAACUGUCAGGCUGGAGUGCAGGAGAGGUAAGUGGAAUUCCUAGUGUAGCGGUGAAAUGCGUAGAUAUUAGGAGGAACACCAGUGGCGAAGGCGGCUUACUGGACUGUAACUGACGUUGAGGCUCGAAAGCGUGGGGAGCAAACAGGAUUAGAUACCCCAGUAGCA
rnacentral:rRNA from 1 species